rfam:Anopheles funestus strain FTMOZ unplaced genomic scaffold supercont1.255, whole genome shotgun sequence.
AAAACGGUCCUUUUCAGGACCACCAAAAGAUUGUUUCAAAGAUAAU